rnacentral:rRNA from 1 species
GCGUACUAGCGCACUGGUCGAGUGACUCUGCGCCGAAAAUGUACCGGGGCUAAACGUACCACCGAAGCUGUGGGACGACUUACGUCGGCGGUAGGGGAGCGUUCUAAGGGCGUCGAAGCUAGACCGGAAGGACUAGUGGAGCGCUUAGAAGUGAGAAUGCCGGUGUGAGUAGCGAAAACAGAGGUGAGAAUCCUCUGCACCGAAAGCCUAAGGUUUCCUGAGGAAGGCUCGUCCGCUCAGGGUUAGUCGGGACCUAAGCCGAGGCCGAAAGGCGUAGGCGAUGGACAACAGGUUGAUAUUCCUGUACCACCUCCUCACCGUUUGAGCAAUGGGGGGGACGCAGGAGGAUAGGGUCAGCGCGCGACUGGUUGUGCGCGUCCAAGCAGUUAGGUGCCUCAAGUAGGCAAAUCCGCUUGAGUAGGCUGAGCUGUGAUGGCGAGGGAAAUAAAGUACCGAAGUGCCUGAUUCCACACUGCCAAGAAAAGCCUCUAGCGAGGUGAGAGGUGCCCGUACCGCAAACCGACACAGGUAGGCGAGGAGAGAAUCCUAAGGUGCGCGGGAGAACUCUCGUUAAGGAACUCGGCAAAAUGACCCCGUAACUUCGGGAGAAGGGGUGCUCUGUUAGGGUGCAAGCCCGAGAGAGCCGCAGUGAAUAGGCCCAGGCGACUGUUUAGCAAAAACACAGGUCUCUGCGAAGCCGUAAGGCGAAGUAUAGGGGCUGACGCCUGCCCGGUGCUGGAAGGUUAAGAGGAGCGCUUAGCGUAAGCGAAGGUGCGAAUUGAAGCCCCAGUAA